GAGAGAGCUGCUUUUUCAUGAAACGGGAGUAAAGUAGUGAACUUACAGGAACAUAUACCACUACCAACGUUUGGCUGCACACCCUUGUCUCCUGGAUCCUAGCUGAGAUCCGCGUGAACCACGUGGGUCUCUGCUCCCUGAUCUGUUUCCUGUGUUUGGAAAGACUUCCAGCUUCAUCACGGAGUUUCUCUCGGUUUGUGGGCUCAUCUAAAGCUGAGUAACAGGAGGAGAAGAGUGGUGGUGCAGCAGAGGAACAAUUUCAGCCAUUUGGACUCAGCUCAGUCACUACAGAGGAGACAAUGUCUUCAACACAAAAGGACCAACAUGGAGCAAGAAGUCAGCGCUCUCAGGAGGCCGACAAACCUCACAGAAGAAAGGGAGAGAAAAACUACAGCUGUGAUGAGUGUGGGAAGGAUUUUACCCGGGCUGGAGACUUAAAAACUCACCAACUCAUCCACAGUGGAGUUAAACCUUACAACUGUGACUUGUGUGGAAAGUCUUUUACCCAGGCUGGAAACU